AGGAUCCGACCAACCCAAAGAAGAUUGCUCAGUCUUGUACUACUACAGGCCGGUUUGGUGCCCUAAUGUCGGUCAAUUUCUCUUUGAUAACGCAGCAGAUUAACACUAAGGUGAAGCCAAAUAAGUCGUUUGAGUGGUACUCACUACACGAUCCGACCAAAACCAAAGAAGAGUGCUCAGUCUUGUACUACUACAGGCCGGUUUGGUGCCCUAAUGUCGGCCAAUUUCUCUUUGAUAGCGCAGCAGAUUAACACUAAGGUGAAGCCAAAUAAAUCGUUUGAGUGGUACUCACUACACGAUCCGACCAACCCAAAGAAGAGUGCUCAGUAUUGUUCUACUACAGUCCGGUUUGGUGCCCUAAUGUCGGCUAAUUUCUACUCACUACAGGAUCCGACCAACCCAAAGAAGAGUGCUCAGUCUUGUACUACUACAGGCCGGUUUGGUGCCCUAAUGUCGGCCAAUUUCUCUUUGAUAACGCAGCAGAUUAACACUAAGGUGAAGCCAAAUAAAUCGUUUGAGUGGUACUCACUACACGAUCCGACCAACCCAAAGAAGAGUGCUCAGUAUUGUUCUACUACAGUCCGGUUUGGUGCCCUAAUGUCGGCUAAUUUCUCUUUGAUAGCGCAACAGAUUAACACUAAGGUGAAGCCAAAUAAACCGUUUGAGUGGUACUCACUAUAGGAUCCGACCAACUCAAAGAAGAGUGCUCAGUCUUGUACUACUACAGGCCGAUUUGGUGAGCCGAUAGUGGUAGUUUCUGACACAUCUGAUGUUCCAUCUACGUCAGCUGAGCCAUAGACCUCCGCCAAAUUGAAACGGACACACACAAAGAACCAGCAAACUUGAAACUGCCAUAGACCUCCGCCAAAUUGUAGGACCUCCACUCCAAGAACCCUAUCUACCAGCGGAUCUGUCGCUGCUUCCUUGUGUCAAAACCACCUCCAAAAACCAUCAAGAUGAUCGAUCCGAAAAAAAAAAGCAAACAAUAGAGAAACAGAGGAAGGGAACGAAUGGGAUUUUUCCUAUUGUGUUAUCUGAUUCAAAUCCCUUCUAUUUUCAUUUCAAAUUCUAGCUUUUUAUUCUGAUUUCUUAUGUUAAAAUCGUGGAGUUUGAUUAAAGUGAGGAAGUUGGUUCACAGUUCUGGUUAUGUCGCCAUAUCGAGGUUCCCAUCAAUUGGUCGUUUGGAUAGUGUUAUUCUGGACGUCGCUAUUUUUCAUGUUGCCGUUUGCAAAUCCGAGGUGUCGAUUUGAGGCUUGUUGUGGUCAAACUUGAGUUUGUCGAUUUAUUUUUCGAUUUUUCAUCUCUUAGCAUUGUCAAGCUGUCAAACAAUCAAACUUCAAAUUUACUCAAGGUCUAUUUCUCCUUUUCUUUUGC
rnacentral:lncRNA from 1 species